GGGCUCUCACCGUGAGAACGUUUCUAGAUUGGUUCUUCGGAUCGGCAUUUAUGCUUUGGCAGCCUCAGUGAAUCAUCCACCAGGAGAAUAAGCUGAUGGUAAUCAAAAUCAACGAGCCGGAGUAGUGCUCUUCAAGGCAGACCAUAUUCGAUAUCAGGAGUUCCUGAACAUACGACAGCCAGUCGCACCAAAUGAAGGUCAGCCAAGUAUCAGUGUCGGUGACAAUGGUUAGCGCCUUUUCAAUGCUAUUCGGAUCUCCUGAACCAGUACGCACCACUGAAACUCCUACGUCACACCGUAACAUCAAUAUCAUCCGUCGUAUUUCAUUCCUUCUCAAAUUGACAAAUACGUACGUAACAUGCGUAGAACUUGGCAUCGGAAUUGAUGAAUUUCAAUAAAAUUAGCUCAAUUUAAA